UUAAGCGACUAAGCGUACACGGUGGAUGCCCUGGCAGUCAGAGGCGAUGAAGGACGUGCUAAUCUGCGAUAAGCGUCGGUAAGGUGAUAUGAACCGUUAUAACCGGCGAUUUCCGAAUGGGGAAACCCAGUGUGUUUCGACACACUAUCAUUAACUGAAUCCAUAGGUUAAUGAGGCGAACCGGGGAACUGAAACAUCUAAGUACCCCGAGGAAAAGAAAUCAACCGAGAUUCCCCCAGUAGCGGCGAGCGAACGGGGAGCAGCCCAGAGCCUGAAUCAGUGUGUGUGUUAGUGGAAGCGUCUGGAAAGGCGCGCGAUACAGGGUGACAGCCCCGUACACAAAAAUGCACAUGCUGUGAGCUCGAUGAGUAGGGCGGGACACGUGGUAUCCUGUCUGAAUAUGGGGGGACCAUCCUCCAAGGCUAAAUACUCCUGACUGACCGAUAGUGAACCAGUACCGUGAGGGAAAGGCGAAAAGAACCCCGGCGAGGGGAGUGAAAAAGAACCUGAAACCGUGUACGUACAAGCAGUGGGAGCACGCUUAGGCGUGUGACUGCGUACCUUUUGUAUAAUGGGUCAGCGACUUAUAUUCUGUAGCAAGGUUAACCGAAUAGGGGAGCCGAAGGGAAACCGAGUCUUAACUGGGCGUUAAGUUGCAGGGUAUAGACCCGAAACCCGGUGAUUCUAGCCAUGGGCAGGUUGAAGGUUGGGUAACACUAACUGGAGGACCGAACCGACUAAUGUUGAAAAAAUUAGCGGAUGACUUGUGGCUGGGGGGUGAAAGGCCAAUCAAACCGGGAGAUAGCUGGUUCUCCCCGAAAGCUAUUUAGGUAGCGCCUCGUGAAUUCAUCUCCGGGGGUAGAGCACUGUUUCGGCAAGGGGGUCAUCCCGACUUACCAACCCGAUGCAAACUGCGAAUACCGGAGAAUGUUAUCACGGGAGACACACGGCGGGUGCUAACGUCCGUCGUGAAGAGGGAAACAACCCAGACCGCCAGCUAAGGUCCCAAAGUCAUGGUUAAGUGGGAAACGAUGUGGGAAGGCCCAGACAGCCAGGAUGUUGGCUUAGAAGCAGCCAUCAUUUAAAGAAAGCGUAAUAGCUCACUGGUCGAGUCGGCCUGCGCGGAAGAUGUAACGGGGCUAAACCAUGCACCGAAGCUGCGGCAGCGACACUAUGUGUUGUUGGGUAGGGGAGCGUUCUGUAAGCCUGUGAAGGUGUACUGUGAGGUAUGCUGGAGGUAUCAGAAGUGCGAAUGCUGACAUAAGUAACGAUAAAGCGGGUGAAAAGCCCGCUCGCCGGAAGACCAAGGGUUCCUGUCCAACGUUAAUCGGGGGCAGGGUGAGUCGACCCCUAAGGCGAGGCCGAAAGGCGUAGUCGAUGGGAAACAGGUUAAUAUUCCUGUACUUGGUGUUAUUGCGAAGGGGGGGGACGGAGAAGGCUAUGUUGGCCGGGCGACGGUUGUCCCGGUUUAAGCGUGUAGGCUGGUUUUCCGAGCAAAUCCGGAAAAUCAAGGCUGAGGCGUGAUGACGAGGCACUACGGUGCUGAAGCAACAAAUGCCCUGCUUCCGUGAAAAGCCUCUAAGCAUCAGGUAACAUCAAAUCGUACCCCCAAACCGACACAGGUGGUCAGGUAGAGAAUACCAAGGCGCUUGAGAGAACUCGGGUGAAGGAACUAGGCAAAAUGGUGCCGUAACUUCGGGAGAAGGCACGCUGAUAUGUAGGUGAGGUCCCUCGCGGAUGGAGCUGAAAUCAGUCGAAGAUACCAGCUGGCUGCAACUGUUUAUUAAAAAACACAGCACUGUGCAAACACGAAAGUGGACGUAUACGGUGUGACGCCUGCCCGGUGCCGGAAGGUUAAUUGAUGGGGUUAGCGCAAGCGAAGCUCUUGAUCGAAGCCCCGGUAAACGGCGGCCGUAACUAUAACGGUCCUAAGGUAGCGAAAUUCCUUGUCGGGUAAGUUCCGACCUGCACGAAUGGCGUAAUGAUGGCCAGGCUGUCUCCACCCGAGACUCAGUGAAAUUGAACUCGCUGUGAAGAUGCAGUGUACCCGCGGCAAGACGGAAAGACCCCGUGAACCUUUACUAUAGCUUGACACUGAACAUUGAGCCUUGAUGUGUAGGAUAGGUGGGAGGCUUAGAAGUGUGGACGCCAGUCUGCAUGGAGCCGACCUUGAAAUACCACCCUUUAAUGUUUGAUGUUCUAACGUUGACCCGUAAUCCGGGUUGCGGACAGUGUCUGGUGGGUAGUUUGACUGGGGCGGUCUCCUCCUAAAGAGUAACGGAGGAGCACGAAGGUUGGCUAAUCCUGGUCGGACAUCAGGAGGUUAGUGCAAUGGCAUAAGCCAGCUUGACUGCGAGCGUGACGGCGCGAGCAGGUGCGAAAGCAGGUCAUAGUGAUCCGGUGGUUCUGAAUGGAAGGGCCAUCGCUCAACGGAUAAAAGGUACUCCGGGGAUAACAGGCUGAUACCGCCCAAGAGUUCAUAUCGACGGCGGUGUUUGGCACCUCGAUGUCGGCUCAUCACAUCCUGGGGCUGAAGUAGGUCCCAAGGGUAUGGCUGUUCGCCAUUUAAAGUGGUACGCGAGCUGGGUUUAGAACGUCGUGAGACAGUUCGGUCCCUAUCUGCCGUGGGCGCUGGAGAACUGAGGGGGGCUGCUCCUAGUACGAGAGGACCGGAGUGGACGCAUCACUGGUGUUCGGGUUGUCAUGCCAAUGGCACUGCCCGGUAGCUAAAUGCGGAAGAGAUAAGUGCUGAAAGCAUCUAAGCACGAAACUUGCCCCGAGAUGAGUUCUCCCUGACCCUUUAAGGGUCCUGAAGGAACGUUGAAGACGACGACGUUGAUAGGCCGGGUGUGUAAGCGCAGCGAUGCGUUGAGCUAACCGGUACUAAUGAACCGUGAGGCUUAACCU
rnacentral:rRNA from 1 species